rnacentral:rRNA from 1 species
AUUGAACGCUGGCGGCAGGCCUAACACAUGCAAGUCGAGCGAGCGGCGGACGGGUGAGUAAUGUCUGGGAAACUGCCUGAUGGAGGGGGAUAACUACUGGAAACGGUAGCUAAUACCGCAUACCAUCCUCUUUGCCCAGAUUGGAUUCGCUAGUAGGUGGGGUAACGGCUCACCUAGGCUACGAUCCCUAGCUGGUCUGAGAGGAUGACCAGCCACACUGGAACUGAGACACGGUCCAGACUCCUACGGGAGGAAGCAGUGGGGAAUAUUGCACAAUGGGCGCAAGCCUGAUGCAGCCAUGCCGCGUGUGUGAAGAAGGCCUUCGGGUUGUAAAGCACUUUCAGCGGGGAGGCGUUACCCGCAGAAGAAGCACCGGCUAACUCCGUGCCAGCAGCCGCGGUAAUAC